UAAAUACAUAUUAAAUACUUUAUGGUUUUUUUUAGACGAUUAAAUGAAUUAAAAUAGGUGAAAAUCCCCCCAAAAGGAGAAAAAGAUAGUAAAUGUACACGGAGAUCUUGAAUUAAAAAAAAAAUUUAUGAAAAUAGAAAAUAUACACUAAAUGUAAAUCCCUCCCCUUCAUAUUUCUUGUCCACAAAGGCAAAAAGGGAUAAACAUUAGAAAGGGGCCCCACUAGGAAACUUCCAGGAAAGGGACAAAAGGACCAUUUUUCCAUUUUGGAAAAGGUCCACACACACAAUAUAUACACACUCCAUUCCUUGGAUCUGGGGGCCAUUUUUUUUGCUGAUUUUUGCUUCUUCUUCAUCAUCUUCACACACACAAUCUUCUACACGAUCAUACUCCCAAUUUCCAUUCUAGAAUACACCAUCUUCCAUGUACUUUCAAUUUCCAUGAACAGCAUGGACAGGACCUCAUAUAUAAUCCAUCAUUGAAAAAAUAUUUCUUCUCCACAUACAAAAAAAUAAAAACACGCAGACAGAGAGAGGGAGAGAGAGCGACGGAAGAGUGAGAGAGCAGCUGAACGCGCACAAGAGAGAAAAAAUAGUGAGAAUCUGAGAGAGGAGAUCGAAAAUGUGAUUUGGCCUGUGUUUUUGGCCGGAAGUAGCAUCCCCUUGCCGAAAAAACAUUGUUAUCAUCCAUUUUUGCCUUGUUUCGGUCAGCGUUGGAGCUCACCGAAGUUCCAACGGGACGAUAGCUAUGGAUUUUGACCCUAACCCGAUCCGAAUCAGUCAAUUUUGACCGGUUUUGGGUUAGAUUCCGGCGAGUUUUUGCCGGACAUCGUCACACGGGUUCUUGGUUUUCUUUUAGAAAGUUUUUGGAUUCAGGCUUCUUGUUUUUUUUGGUUCGUUUUGGAGAGAAAACAAAACGAAAGGGUGAGACUGAACUUUGGUCAUUUCAUGUUUGAGGUUUGAAUCGAUGGUUCUGAAUCCGCGAAGCUCCUCCAUUUGAUUGAAUCAAAGCGGCAUUAGGGAUGGAGCCGUCCACAGGGUCUAGAGUCUUGAUGGUUUCCAAGGUUCCCAAAAAGUUAAUCAAAUGGUGGGGUAUGCUCAACUAUUCUGAAAGGCAUGAGAUAGAAAAAUUGUUCAGCAAUCUUACAUCGCUUUUGAAUAUCACACCCUGACCAGAUCUAAUAGAGGCCGCAUCGAACUUCUGGGAUUCAGACAGCUUGGUGUUUAGGUUCGGGAGUUGUGAAAUGAUGCCUACCUUGGCAGAAAUAUCCGGUUUGUUUCAUUUGCCAUAUAUCGGUCAGAAGUUAAUCCUAGCUCGGAAUCAUUCUAGCAGGAUAUUUCUCGAACUUUGCGGUUUGAAGGCUAAUGAUCACCUAGGGUCCCUGAAACAAUCUUGGAUUUCCUUAGAUUAUUUGUUCGCUGGAUUCCGAUCUCCAGACGGUUUUGAUCACUUUUGGGAUGAAUUUUGUACUACCAAGAAGAAUUGGGAGAAACGACAUCUUGAGGUUUUCUGUUUGGCAUUGUUAGGUACUUUAGUGUUCCUGUUAGAUGAAACGCGUAUCAAAACUCAUUUACAAUCAGUAGUAAUGGCUUUGUUCAAGAAAAA